GAAGGGUGUUUGUCAGAACUUAAAAGAAGCUUCAUCAUGUUUAAGUUGCCUUUCUAAAUUGGCUUUCACAUGUACGUACGGCAGCAGCAUCAUAGGAAUUAGUCCUCAACCAAGGGAUUUAUGGAUGAUCACAAUAUAUGCUCAGUUGUUUCAACAAGAAUGGUGUCACGGUAACAUUUCUCUUAGAGAAAUACAUAUGCAUGCUUAUAUUUGUGUUGGCCAACAACUAGGACAUAGAUGCAAAGUAGUUGAAUGGAAUGCACAAAUUUCACAUUCACUUCCAAGAGGCUGAUAGGUUUGUGAUGUUACUGGUGGUUUGAAGCUUUUAUAGAAGCAUUUUUUGUGUCCUCGAGCUUAGGAGUAGGAGUUCAAGGAGCGGUGGUUGAAUUUUGUGAUCAGCUUGUGGUAUUCACUCUUUCUGAAGCUUUUAUAGAAGCAUUUUGUGUCCUCGAGCUUAGGAGUAGGAGUUCAAGGAGCGGUGGUUGAAUUUUGUGAUCAGCUGUGCUAUUGCACUCUUUCUGAUCUGCUGCUGAAGAAUGAUCCUUGACUUCAUUACAUAUUGUGGUGUCCUUUUUUGAAGCUGAUUCGGAGCUAAGGCCGAUGACAGGAGCCAGCAACGGUGUGUGUUUGCUCAUUUCCAAUCUUUUUAAUGUCAUAUGAACAUCGGUGAGGAUCAUCUCGAUUUCUUUGAGGCUAGGAUGCCUUGACAUGCAUGCGCAAUGACAGAAGCAACGCCACCAGCGGAUGCCUUGACAUGCAUGUGCAAUGACAGAAGCAACGCCACCAGCGGAUGCCUUAGUAAGGUCAGGAUCAUCUCGAUUUCUUUGUUGGUGACAGAAAUGGUUUUGCCGAGUAGCUUAGAAGUCUUAAUAAUGAUAAUGGUUUUGCCGAGUAGUACACCUUUUUUGUAAUAUUUUUUGGUGCAUUUACCAUUGAAAUAUGCAGUCAGAAAAUUAUUCAGAUAUGUUUUUUAUUGGAUGUUCAGGUUUAUAGAGGUUAAAUGUGUUAUGGUGUCGAACUUAUGGUGCCUGACAGGUGUUCACUUUCCUUGUACGAUUAUUGCCACUAUCUUGUCCCACAGAUUUCAUUAUUUAGCAUAGUCUUUAAAACAUAUUUUCAAGGGAUAAAUUUGCUGAGUUGCUCAUUCCAUUUUCUAUUUUUGUGCUCCUAACUAUUUAAAUGUGUUUGUGAGUGGGUCUCAGUAUGCAGUCUUGUUCUGGCCUGUUGCCAUGUUAGCAAGAGGAACAUGAGAAGUGGAGAAGAAUCAUGCGCCGUUGCAUCGUCGCCUAAAAAGCCAGCUCCAAGCUUAGAUGGUCGCCAUAUUCUAAUCUCUCUUUCUCUCUUUCUUGUCUGUUUGUAUAGAUUUGUUUACAUUGAGUAAAUUCGAGUGAAUUUAUUUUCUACUUUGAGUGAAUUUGCUUUCUAUUUUUGGUACUUUGUUAGGUUGAUAAAAGGGUAGUUUUUUCUUGUUAAUUGUCACAAAAAAUAUAUUCUCCGUGAAAUAGAACAUGAAAUUUUAUGCAUAUCCGUCCUUUAAUUUACUUUGAUUUAUCAACGUCUGAUUUUUUCACGUAUGUUUCUCUUAACUUGCAGUGAAUUGGACAUUAGAUCAUACACAUAUUUAAAGUAAAUUGGAAAGUACAAAUAAAAUGUUUAACUUGAACACAUAGGUAUGGAAUUACCAUUUGUUUAUAUCGGUCUUCCUAGCUAAAUCAUGGAACUCGCUUAACCAUUCGCGGUAGCUUUCAUGUGCGCAUAUAGCAUCAUCAUUCCAAGAUUCAAAUGAUUUUUUCAACACUUAACACUGAUACUUUCUUUUUACCCAUGAAGGUGUGGUACGAUCAGAUAACAAAGCAUUUGCCCCCAGUU